rnacentral:lncRNA from 1 species
GUUUUGGCAUUAGUAAGAAAGCAUAUUCCUUUUAGUAUAAAUUAUUCAUAUGAACUUUUUUUUUUCAAAUGCUGAAAAAAUAAGAAUAUCACGAAAGCCAUCAAUCCUGAUUUCUUCCCUCAAAGCAAGGUGUUUCAUCAGCCAUCAGUGAUAAGCUCAGUGAGGAAGUUAUCAGAAGCGUGAACUUCUAGCUUUGUGUAUUCAGUUUCCUCACCCCAAACCUGUCCAGGUCCCUCACUCGGAACACAUUUUGAAAAGAACAGUUAGAGAUAGUAAAAAUAAACUGGAAUUUGAGAGAGAUCCCACUUCAUUACUUUCAAUGACUUAAUGGCAAUUUAAAGGAGAAUAGUAGGUGACUGUGGAUAAGAGAUCAUGCCCUCUCUAAAUACUACAAGAACAGAUACAAUCAUGCCUAAUUAUCAUAUUAUGUAAUGAAUAUUUUAAGAUCUGGGUGCAAGGGUUUUUUUUAUUUAAUAAUAUUUCAUUGAUUUAGUAUAUCUCUUUAUGAUUUUUUUUCGAGCUAAUGAAAAUGAAAUAAAGAAGUGAGUAGUCAAAUAGAUCCUCAGGCCAAUCUGGGUCACAUGUACAUGAAAAUCUGAAUUAGCUCUCAGGAGAGUGUUGUUCUGCUUUCGGUCUUAUCUUUACAAGUAAUCGAAAUCCCCCAAUCUACACAUAAAUAUCAGAGAGGAAAAGAACAGCCCCAGCCUUCCAAACGCUCACAUCACCUUUUGUUUUGAUAAACUCUGAUAGAAAAAUCCCAGCUGAAAUUCAGACAACAAUCCAAGAAGCAGGAUAGAGGAAGCAAGAUUAUAUUGCUUUCCUCUGGUCAGGUGCAUAAGAUGCAUUGAACGUGAUAAAUAGUUCUGCUACUGUGGGAACAGGGUCUGAAGCUGCGGUGGGAGGGAUUUUGUCUAGACUGUAGCAAACGCUCUGUAGCCAUAGAGUUAAGUGUCAUGGGGAAGCAGGGCUGCCCAACUUCCUGCUGUGGGGAUUUUAUAAUAAGAGCCAGGCCGGUGUCAUUUCACACAAGACCUGCCCGGAGGUAGGGGAAUGGAUAAAAUGACCUUUCCUGCCUCCUCCAAGGGCUAUAACUGGUCCUUAAUGAAAACCUGGUACCAAGAGCUAGUUUGGUAUGGAACAAUGCUUUUAAGGCCAAAGUUUAAUUUCAUAACAGAAAUCGGAUACUGUAGAUAGACGGAUUGCACUCUUCAGAGAUGGAUAGAAUGACUUGGUCUUUGGAGCUCAUCCCAAGGGGCGCUUUAAGGAAUAUUCUCUGGGAACAGCAUCCUGUGCUGGCAAAGGCAUUACUUGAUGAUUUAAUGGAUCCGUUCCAUUUCCAGGUCUUAUGAUGUAUUAUUACUACGAGUGAAUGGCUAGCGUCUAACAUUUUAGUAUGCUCUCCGAAGCAGACACCAACCAAGAGUCCGCCUGUCACACUUAAAAAUGGGGUUUUACUUCAUUUUUGCACAGUUACUUAAGAGGGUCGCUGCUCUACUUCUGUCCCCCUCUCCUUUGGCUUGAGUGUGUUCUUUUCACUGUUGUCAUUCUCAUCUCAAUAUAGAGUUAUUCAGUCUCAGUCUACAUUCCAAGAAAGUUGCCGUGAAAGUUCAUUGGUAUUAUAGCCUAUUCUCUUGGAAGCUAAAAGUCCCUAAUGCCUUUGAUCUUGACUCUAUUUAUUUUCACAAAAGCAACAGAUAUGGUCCGCUUGGGGAUACCAAAUAUGAGUAGUUUUGUUUCAGGUUGUAUUUGUACACUCUUUGCGUGUGUGUUUGAGUCACACCAGUGAUGCUCAAAAGCUAUUGAAAUAAAUGGCUACGUUGCUGCCUUUACUGAUUCCUACAGCCUGCAGCUCUUAAGAGCUAGAGUUGCUACACUUGCUAUUCCAAGAGGCCACUGGGCAGGAUUUGCAAGGGAAAGAGAUACCGGGAAGCUCUCUG